UUACGUUUGAGUCAAUGCAGGGCUCUGGGCAG
rnacentral:piRNA from 1 species